rnacentral:rRNA from 1 species
GACGAACGCUGGCGGCGUGCCUAAUACAUGCAAGUUGAGCGCUGAAGGUUGGUACUUGUACCAACUGGAUGAGCAGCGAACGGGUGAGUAACGCGUGGGGAAUCUGCCUUUGAGCGGGGGACAACAUUUGGAAACGAAUGCUAAUACCGCAUAAAAACUUUAAACACAAGUUUUAAGUUUGAAAGAUGCAAUUGCAUCACUCAAAGAUGAUCCCGCGUUGUAUUAGCUAGUUGGUGAGGUAAAGGCUCACCAAGGCGAUGAUACAUAGCCGACCUGAGAGGGUGAUCGGCCACAUUGGGACUGAGACACGGCCCAAACACCUACGGGAGGCAGCAGUAGGGAAUCUUCGGCAAUAGACGAAAGUCUGACCGAGCAACGCCGCGUGAGUGAAGAAGGUUUUCGGAUCGUAAAACUCUGUUGGUAGAGAAGAACGUUGGUGAGAGUGGAAAGCUCAUCAAGUGACGGUAACUACCCAGAAAGGGACGGCUAACUACGUG